rnacentral:lncRNA from 12 species
AUGAAGAAAGCUUAUGGAAGAGACAGAUUCUGUAGUUCACGGUACCAGAUCUCUUUCUUUUGCACCAGGACCAACCUGGUGGCCACCGGAGGCCUCCUAGAGGGGGAACUGUCUUCCAGUUUUUCAAAAUCACCCCAACAUUUGAUGAAGUUUUUAAAAUAAAUUGCCCUGUUUUUGGCUUUUGAGACUGAAUUUUGGAUGGCAACUCUACAACAGAGAAUGAAAGAAUGACCUGGGAGUGGGGAGACAGGAGGCCAGAGGCACAGGUUUCCAGAUGUUUGUAUAAUAACUGUGAAUUUUCAUGAUGAUACUAACAAGGUAGAGUUUGGGAUCCUUAAUUCCGUCUUUGCAAAAUUAAUCUUAUUCUAAUUUGUUGAAAUGUGGCCCUUGGCCUUUCAUUCAGAUAUAGGAAUAGUGACUUAGUGGUGUUUGUUGCUGUGAAUUUUUAUGAAGCGUCUUUUAAUUUCAAAUGAUUAAAUGAAAUGAUGAUUACAUCUAUUUGUUUUGUUUUAUUGAAAUAACAGUUAUUUCAAUUUAUUUUUGUAAUUGUUUUAAUAAAAUUUAAAUUUAAAAAUACA